AUCCAGUUGACGAGUCUCAAAUAGGACGAAACGCAUGUCUUGGUU
rnacentral:hammerhead_ribozyme from 1 species